UACGUAGGGUGCGAGCGUUAAUCGGAAUCACUGGGCGUAAAGGGCGUGUAGGCGGGAAGGAUAGUCAGAUGUGAAAUCCCCAGGCUCAACCUGGGAACUGCAUUUGAAACUCCCUUUCUUGAGUAUCGGAGAGGAAAGCGGAAUUCCUGGUGUAGAGGUGAAAUUCGUAGAUAUCAGGAGGAACACCAGUGGCGAAGGCGGCUUUCUGGACGGUUACUGACGCUGAGACGCGAAAGCGUGGGGAGCAAACAGG
rnacentral:rRNA from 1 species